ensembl:lncRNA
GCUGGAGUGAGGACCAGAUAAAUUACUAAUUAUAGUACUACUUUUGGACCAGUUAUAAGAAGACGUAUCAAUCCAUGAGUCAUUGUGGAAAAGAAUAACAUGAUUGAGCAGCAGCCUGUGUCUGGGUAUAAUCAUGACCAACCCUUACAUUUCUUCAAUGCUUUGAGCUAAUCUGAGCGUUUCACAUAUAUUUUCUUAUUUUACCCAGAAUAGAAUGAGAGUGAUGAUGAAGAUGCUUCCAGAAACACGUUUUCAAGGAAGAAUAGUUGAGGGUUUCAAUCUCAGGAGUUCAACUCAGUCAUCUCAACUCUACCUUGAAAAAACCAUUCAUAAGAAGCCUGUUCUUUAAAAUCUUUUCCAGAUCAAGGCUGGGAGAAUAGCCCAGGGGCACAGAAUUUGCUUAGGAUGUACAUGGCCUUGGAUUUAAUUCUCAGCAUCACAAAACAA